AUUGAACGCUGGCGGCAUGCUUUACACAUGCAAGUCGAACGGUAACAGGCCUUCGGGUGCUGACGAGUGGCGAACGGGUGAGUAAUGCAUCGGAACGUACCCAGAGGUGGGGGAUAACGCAGCGAAAGCUGUGCUAAUACCGCAUGUGAUCUGAGGAUGAAAGCGGGGGACCGAGCAGCAAUGUUUGGCCUCGCGCCUUUGGAGCGGCCGAUGUCGGAUUAGCUAGUUGGUGGGGUAAAGGCCUACCAAGGCGACGAUCCGUAGCUGGUCUGAGAGGACGACCAGCCACACUGGGACUGAGACACGGCCCAGACUCCUACGGGAGGCAGCAGGGGGGAAUUUGGGACAAUGGGCGCAAGCCUGACCCAGCAAUGCCGCGUGCGGGAAGAAGGCCUGCGGGUUGUAAACCGUUUUUGGCAGGAACGAAACGGUGUCCGCUAAUACCGGGCGCUAAUGACGGUACCUGCAGAAUAAGCACCGGCGAACUACGU
rnacentral:rRNA from 1 species